rnacentral:rRNA from 1 species
UACGUAGGGGCAAGCGUUGUCCGGAAUCAUUGGGCGUAAAGCGCGUGUAGGCGGUCCGGUAAGUCGGCUGUGAAAGUCCAGGGCUCAACCCUGGGGAUGCCCGGUCGAUACUGCCGGACUAGAGUUCGGAAGAGGCGAGUGGAAUUCCCGGUGUAGCGGUGAAAUGCGCAGAUAUCGGGAGGAACACCAAUGGCGAAGGCAGCUCGCUGGGACGUUACUGACGCUG